rnacentral:rRNA from 1 species
UCUUUUAAUUGAAGGCUUGUAUGAAUGGUUGGACGAGAUAUUAACUGUUUCAAUUAAAAUUAUGUUAAAAUUUUAUUUUUUAGUCAAAAAGCUAAAAUAUUAUUAAAAGACGAGAAGACCCUAUAAAUCUUAAUAAUUUAUAUAUUAAAUUUAUAAAGAAUAAUUUAAAUUUAGUAUAAAAAAUUAUUUUAUUGGGGUGAUAACAAAAUUUAAAAAACUUUUGUAUUUUUUAUACAUAAAUUAAUGAUUAAUUGAUCCAUUAUAAUGAUUAUUAAAUUAAGUUACUUUAGGGAUAACAGCGUAAUUUUUUUGAAGAGUUCAUAUCGAUAAAAAAUAUUGC